GUGUCAGCCGCCGCGGUAAUACGUAGGCAGCGAGCGUUGUUCGGAGUUACUGGGCGUAAAGCGUGCGUAGGCGGUGUCCUAAGUCUGGUGUGAAAUCUCCCGGCUCAACUGGGAGGGUGCGCCGGAAACUGGGACGCUGGAGUGUGGGAGGGGUAAGCGGAAUUCCUGGUGUAGCGGUGAAAUGCGUAGAUAUCAGGAGGAACACCUGCGGUGUAGACGGCUUACUGGACCAUGACUGACGCUGAGGCACGAAAGCGUGGGGAGCAAACAGGAUUAGAUACCCGUGUAGUCC
rnacentral:rRNA from 1 species